rnacentral:lncRNA from 1 species
AUACGCUGGCCAGUGGUCAGCUAGAAACUAAUUAUUUAGCUCCUCCCUGAGGGUGGGAAGUUAGGGCUCAAGCUUUUCCUCUUCUCUUGCAGCUACCUCCAUCAUUGUUUCUUCUGCAGCUGAAUAGGCUGGCAGGCAGCCUGAAAUGGGGACCUGCUCAGAAGACCCCCACCCCUGCUGGGCAUCCCGGCUCCUCGGACUCAUCAGUCUCUUUCUCAAGCCUAUACCCAGUCCUGAGAUUCUGGCUGGGCCACGAUCCAUCACACCAGGCUGGUGCAAUGUCACCCUGGAGUGUGGGCCCAGAGGAGCCACAAAGGACCUGAAUGUGACCUGGAAGAGGGAGUACAUCCCUGAGGAGCUGGAGCAGACAGGGACACUGGGACCUGCCUCAAACUCCCACACCCUGGCUGUGAGGCUGCCCCUGAGUCAGCCCUACUCCAGUAUCACCUGCGUGGUCAGCAACCAGAUGGACCAGAAAACUGCUACCGUAGGUCUUGGGGAAGUCUGUGCCCAUGGUUCUCAAGGACUGCCCAUUGCUGGCUCCCUAGGAGCCAUUGUGGUUCUGCUGCUGAUCCUGGGAUCUGGACUGUGUUUUUGGAAGAAAUGUGGAAAGAAGAAGAUAGAGAUGAGAAGAGGUGCAGGAUCACCAGAGGACCAAAAAGAUGAUGACAGCAUCCAGUAUGUGGAGCUGAACCAGCAGGAAUCUCAAGAGGGCUUGUACAUGGGUGUCAGUGAACAACAUUCAGGGCCUCUCACUACUAUCUACAGUGAAGUCUGUAAGCCAGGCCAUGCUAUGAAGAUAAUUUAAUUGGAGGAAACAGAAGAAUCGGCGCUCCUAGGAGUUUGAUCCCUGCAGACACCUGCCUCUUCCAGCUCUGGUCCAGCUCCAGCUGCCUUUGGUCUGGUUUACCCUGAUGCUCACGGCUGACUCUGGGAAUAUGUAGCCUUAUCACUUCCUCUAGCACCUCCUUAAGCUCUGUUCCCUCUCAGGAUCCUCACACCUGCAAAUUGAGUGCCUCUUCUCUGUCCAGACCCCUCUUCUCCUGAAGCUUCCCAAAGAGGACCUUCCUGACUGUGCACGUGUUGACCCCUACAGCCUCUGCCGCGUGGCUGGUGUGUGUCUUUCUGAGAACACGAGCCCAGGCAUGGGGACUAUGUGGAAGUUUUGUCCACACCACAGAGAAGGUAAUUAUUAACCAAGAAAAUUAUUAACUGGUGCUGGAUGCUGAGUCAGGAGUCCAUGGAGGCAGCAUGGGCAGGUGAGAGCCCAUAAAGGGACUGGCCCAAGGAUUCUUUUACAGCUUGUGUAAGGCAAAGGAUGGGUGUGGGGCCAUGUGCGUGCUUGUUUUGGGAAGAGAAUCUAGUGCACAUUAUGCACCUUCUUCCUGGACCCCAGUAUUAACCUAGCCUUCGGCCUCAGCCUUGGCCCAUGGGCCCAAAACCCACCUUUACAGUGGGGAGAGAGGAGUUCCCAUUGUGGCGCAACAGAAGAAAUCUGACUAGGAACCAUGAGGUCAAGAGUUCCAUCCCUGGCCUCGCUCACUGGGUUAAGGACCUGGUGUUGCCGUGCUGUGGGUAAGUUGCAGAUGCAGCUCAGAUCCUCUGUUGCUGUGGCUGUGGCAUAGGCCGGCAACUGUAGCUCUGAUUCAGCCACUAGCCUGGGAACCUCCAUGUGCCAUGGGCAUGGCCCUAAAAAGCAAAAAAAUUAAAAAAUUUUUUAAAAAGUGGGAAGAGGAAUUUGUACUAUUUC